UUAUCCCUACGGACGCAGCAGUGGGGAAUAUUGCGCAAUGGACGAAAGUCUGACGCAGCGACGCCGCGUGAGGGAUGAAGGUUUUCGGAUCGUAAACCUCUGUCAGGAGGGAAGGAAGCGCAUGGCGCCAAUCAGCCAUGCGUUGACGGUACCUCCAAAGGAAGCGCCGGCUAACUCCGUGCCAGCAGCCGCGGUAAUACGGAGGGCGCGAGCGUUAAUCGGAAUUACUGGGCGUAAAGCGCGCGUAGGCUGUUGUGUAAGUUGGGGGUGAAAUCCCACGGCUCAACCGUGGAACAGCACUAGAA
rnacentral:rRNA from 1 species